GUCCAGCUGAUGUGUCUCAAAUAGGGCGAAACGCGGGUACUGGAU
rnacentral:hammerhead_ribozyme from 1 species